rnacentral:misc_RNA from 1 species
GUGAAUCAUCGAAUCUUUGAACGCAAAUUGCGCUUCCUGGUAUCCCGGGAAGUAUGCCUGUUUGAGGGUCAGUAUUUACAAAAAAUCGGUUAGGUCGCAAAUUGUGACGUUUCAGGUGUUUGGGCUUAUCUUAACUUUUUUGGUUUAGGGGCUUAAAAUUGACCUUUUUUGCGUAUUUUUAGAUGUACAUAAAUUUUUUUUUAUUCGUCUAUUCUUAAUGCUAAAAUCUUUGUAGUUGC